UAUGAUAUUAGGAUUGCUCAUUCUAUCUUGCAUUUCCAGCCUUAGCUUAAAGUCCACUUUAGGACCCUAUAAAUCCAUCUAGAACAAGUUUACGGGGCGAAAGAAUUGGCUAGUUUUAGAUUAUGUUGUGUAAGUUAUCCGUGAGCUUCCGCCACAUGUAAUUAUCGUCGGCACCCCCUUAUGAAUAUUUCGCAAACACGGACUCGGUGAAGUAGAGAAGAAAAGGUGAAAAACCCAGAAGACCCGAUUUCAUUUGCACCGUACGGCCGGGUCACUCCGACUCUCUCUGGUUUUUACAGCUUUCCUAUAGGCUCUCACCGGUUUUCGUUGUCCUCUGUAUAUGCCCCGGGCUAUCCAAAGAUCGUAAACCCAAAAGUGAUUCCCAAAUAUGGAGUCUACGGCAAAUAAUUUCAAUGAAGUUAAAGAGACGGCAACAAAGAAUUAUGCUACCUUUUUCCUGGUGUCUGUGCUUCUAGCUAGCGCAGUCUUGUAUGGAGGUUGUGCCAUGCUCCGCCAUGUCCAGAGUGACUAUGGUCCUGUGAUUCUAACAAGAAAGGGGGCUUUCUUCGUGUUUGUUGUAGCAGAGGGAAUGACCCUGAUUCUGUCGAUCUUUUCUUCCUUGCUUGCUUUUCUGUGCUGGUGGAACCUAAAGAGGAAUGGAUCUUUGAGAAAGUCACAGAAGAUGGCUAUGUUGUAUUACUCGGUUACCAUGUCGACCCUGAUUGGAAUGUUUCUCGUCCACGUCUCGAGCACCUAUGUAUUACACGGUAUCAAACUUCUUGCAGUGGUUGAAAUGGUAGCCUUUUGGUUUUUCUGUAGCUUUGCUAUCAACGUUGACAUGAGCUCAAACAGAGAUUAAAAGUUUGAUGUACUGCAGAAAUUUACAGAAAUAUAUGAAGCACCUAACAGUUGUGA